AUUUUAAAGUUUUAAUAUAUUAAAAGAGACACAUUCGUGUAUGUAUGAAUCACUUUUAUUUACUUUUCUGCCAUUAAUAAAUUAUUGUCGUAAAAGGAAAAAGUAAUCCCAAUUAAAAAAAAACAUAAAACCCUUUCUAAACAAUUCAUGAGAACUACUUUGAGAAAUUGAGAGGGCAGGGACGAUUCAACUGCACGCCUCGCAACAGCCACCACCGCGGCGCCACGACUGACCACCACCGCAGCGCCACGAAAGCCACCACCACCUACGCGACGAGCGAAUCCCCACUCUCGGCCCCGCAACUAGCCGCCACCGCGGCGCCACGAGAAGCCACAGCCACGAACGACGCCUCUCUUGGUUUCCUCCUCUGCAUGGUUGCAUCCUCAACCGCCAUCGUCGGAUGCUCCAAAAGCCUCAACCUCGUUAUACCUCUCCAGUCUCUUCCAACCAAGAUGGCUGCUGCUUCCCGUCACCACCAACAAAGGAUUUGUCGUAUUCCAGACAAACUUUUUUGCUCAAACCAUCCUCCGACGUCGCCGGCGGCGGAGGAAUAUCCGCCGCUCAAUAAUUUCAUGCCAGUAUUUAGUUUAAUUUCCUCUUGAUUUAUUAGAUACCACUUUGAAUCUAGGUACUCUGAAUCUUAACACUGAGUUUAUCCAUUCAAUAUAAUAUGCAGCAGUCUGCAGGAACAUUCAAAUCAAUUCAAAUCAUGUCAGAGAUCGUUGGUUUGGAGAAUUUCAUGUAUUAUAUUUUGAAUAACUAAUAAUUAUUUAUUUAUUUAUUUAUUUAUUUAU